GACGAACGCUGGCGGCGUGCUUAACACAUGCAAGUCGAGCGGUAAGGCCCUUUUGGGGGUACACGAGCGGCGAACGGGUGAGUAACACGUGGGUGACCUGCCCUCAGCUCUGGGAUAAGCCUGGGAAACUGGGUCUAAUACUGGAUAUGACCUUUCCUCGCAUGGGGUUGGGUGAAAGUUUUUCGGCUGGGGAUGGGCCCGCGGCCUAUCAGCUUGUUGGUGGGGUGAUGGCCUACCAAGGCGACGACGGGUAGCCGGCCUGAGAGGGCGACCGGCCACACUGGGACUGAGACACGGCCCAGACUCCUACGGGAGGCAGCAGUGGGGAAUAUUGCGCAAUGGGCGGAAGCCUGACGCAGCGACGCCGCGUGGGGGAUGACGGCC
rnacentral:rRNA from 1 species